GACAAAGGUUACAGGCCUAACCCAUCACACAGCCCGCACCAUAAUUACCAUUCACCGCCACCCAUGCAUAAAAUUCCUCAGCUCCCCGAUUCUGUACCCCCCGCAUCCCCACCCUUCUCCACUUCAGCCGGGGCUUGCAGCUAGCAGCAACAGGCCGGCCUGCUCGGGGCUGCAGCCCAGUGGACCCAAGAGCAUCAGACCAUUCCACCCGAGGCUACUGUUUUUACAAAAACAAGACACCUUCCUGCUGCUUCUUCUUUUGUUUUUUGUUUUUUUACCUUGCAGCCACACAAUCUGUAACAGGGGUCCAACACCAGCACCAUAUCAGGUGUCAUGUGAUUAGACUGAAAUGUAAAGACAAUAGCUUACAAGGCAUCCGACACUUUGCCAUUUGGUUUGCAAAUGGCAAACACCAUUACUGUUUUUCCGCCAUACAAGACAGACACCAUUUGCUUAAAAUAAAGAAAGGGUAAACAAAUCAAGUCUUAAAAAGGCUGGAACACAUUUAUGACAAAUACGCCUAUCAGAAAGAGAAGUACACUCAUACACGGUUUAUGUUGAACACAAUUUAUAAAUGUUAAAACUAUCCCUUAAUUCUUUUUAUAUUAGAAUUAAAUAUACUCAUACACUAAGUGUAUGAGUGUA